rnacentral:rRNA from 1 species
CAGUAGCCGCGGUAAUACAGAGGGUGCAAGCGUUAAUCGGAAUUACUGGGCGUAAAGCGUGCGUAGACGGUUACAUAAGUCGGGUGUGAAAGCCCCGGGCUCAACCUGGGAAUUGCAUUCGAGACUGCGUAGCUAGGGUACGGAAGAGGGAGGCGGAAUUUCAGGUGUAGCGGUGAAAUGCGUAGAUAUCUGAAGGAACACCAGUGGCGAAAGCGGCCUCCUGGUCCAGUACCGACGUUCAGGCACGAAAGCGUGGGGAGCAAACAGGAUUAGAUACCCCCGUAGUCCCUGUCUCUUAUAC